GACGAACGCUGGCGGCGUGCUUAACACAUGCAAGUCGAACGGAAAGGCCCUGCUUUUGCGGGGUGCUCGAGUGGCGAACGGGUGAGUAACACGUGAGUAACCUGCCCUUGACUUUGGGAUAACUUCAGGAAACUGGGGCUAAUACCGGAUAGGAGCUCCUGCUGCAUGGUGGGGGUUGGAAAGUUUCGGCGGUUGGGGAUGGACUCGCGGCUUAUCAGCUUGUUGGUGGGGUAGUGGCUUACCAAGGCUUUGACGUGUAGCCGGCCUGAGAGGGUGACCGGCCACAUUGGGACUGAGAUACGGCCCAGACUCCUACGGGAGGCAGCAGUGGGGAAUAUUGCACAAUGGGCGGAAGCCUGAUGCAGCAACGCCGCGUGCGGGAUGACGGCCUUCGGGUUGUAAACCGCUUUCGCCUGUGACGAAGCGUGAGUGACGGUAAUGGGUAAAGAAGCACCGGCUAACUACGUG
rnacentral:rRNA from 1 species